rnacentral:rRNA from 1 species
AUUGAACGCUGGCGGCAUGCCUUACACAUGCAAGUCGAACGGCAGCACGGGAGCUUGCUCCUGGUGGCGAGUGGCGAACGGGUGAGUAAUACAUCGGAACGUACCCUGAAGUGGGGGAUAACGUAGCGAAAGUUACGCUAAUACCGCAUAUUCUGUGAGCAGGAAGGAGGGGGAUCGCAAGACCUCUUGCUUUAGGAGCGGCCGAUGUCGGAUUAGCUAGUUGGUGAGGUAAAGGCUCACCAAGGCGACGAUCCGUAGCGGGUCUGAGAGGAUGAUCCGCCACACUGGGACUGAGACACGGCCCAGACUCCUACGGGAGGCAGCAGUGGGGAAUUUUGGACAAUGGGCGGCAAGACCUGAUCCAGCCAUGCGCGUGAGUGAAGAAGGACCUGUGU